CCUACGGGAGGCAGCAGUGAGGAAUAUUGGUCAAUGGUCGGGAGACUGAACCAGCCAAGCCGCGUGAGGGAUGAAGGUACAGAGUAUCGUAAACCUCUUUUGUCAGGGAACAAAGGCGGGGACGUGUCCCCGGCUGAGUGUACCUGAAGAAAAAGCAUCGGCUAACUCCGUGCCAGCAGCCGCGGUAAUACGGAGGAUGCGAGUGUUAUCCGGAUUUAUUGGGGUUAAAGGGUGCGCAGGCGGUCUGUUAAGUCAGCGGUCAAAGCCCGGGGCUCAACCCCGGCCCGCCGUUGAAACUGGCAGUCUCGAGUUGGAGAGAAGUAUGCGGAAUGCGCGGUGUAGCGGUGAAAUGCAUAGAUAUCGCGCAGAACUCCGAUUGCGAAGGCAGCAUGCCGGCUCCACACUGACGCUGAGGCACGAAAGCGUGGGUAUCGAACAGGAUUAGAUACCAUUGUAGUC
rnacentral:rRNA from 1 species